rnacentral:sRNA from 1 species
ACCGGGCAUAGUGGUGCACACCUGUAAUCCCAGAGACUCUGGAGGUUGAGGCAGGAGGAUUGCAAGUUUGAGGCCAGCUUCAGAAAUUUAGUGAGAAUCUGUCUCAA